rnacentral:snRNA from 1 species
GGAUGUGAGGACGAUCUGGCUGUGACCUCUGUCACCCCAUUGAUCACCAGGAUUGAUUCAGCUGAUCUAACAGGCAGAUGUCCCCUUACUCCCUCACUACCCCAUGUGUGUCCUCCCAAAGCUGAGCUCUGUGUCAAAGAGGUCGACAGUCCCUUCAUAGAGGAAGGCUGUUCUUUGGUCAAGGGUAUAUGAGUAGCUGUGGUUCCCUGCUAGAACCUUCUUUUUCUUUUUCUUUCUUUUUUUUUUUUUUUUUUUUUUUUUUUGGUCUUUUAAGCUUCUAUUUAAGGG